GACGAACGCUGGCGGCGUGCUUAACACAUGCAAGUCGAACGGAAAGGCCCUGCUUUUGUGGGGUGCUCCAGUGGCGAACGGGUGAGUAACACGUGAGUAACCUGCCCUUGACUUUGGGAUAACUUCAGGAAACUGGGGCUAAUACCGGAUAGGAGCUCCUGCUGCAUGGUGGGGGUUGGAAAGUUUCGGCGGUUGGGGAUGGACUCGCGGCUUAUCAGCUUGUUGGUGGGGUAGUGGCUUACCAAGGCUUUGACGGGUAGCCGGCCUGAGAGGGUGACCGGCCACAUUGGGACUGAGAUACGGCCCAGACUCCUACGGGAGGCAGCAGUGGGGAAUAUUGCACAAUGGGCGGAAGCCUGAUGCAGCAACGCCGCGUGCGGGAUGACGGCCUUCGGGUUGUAAACCGCUUUCGCCUGUGACGAAGCGUGAGUGACGGUAAUGGGUAAAGAAGCACCGGCUAACUACGUGCCAGCAGCCGCGGUGAUACGUAGGGUGCGAGCGUUGUCCGGAUUUAUUGGGCGUAAAGGGCUCGUAGGUGGUUGAUCGCGUCGGAAGUGUAAUCUUGGGGCUUAACCCUGAGCGUGCUUUCGAUACGGGUUGACUUGAGGAAGGUAGGGGAGAAUGGAAUUCCUGGUGGAGCGGUGGAAUGCGCAGAUAUCGGGAGGAACACCAGUGGCGAAGGCGGUUCUCUGGGCCCUUCCUGACGCUGAGGAGCGAAAGCGUGGGGAGCGAACAGGCUUAGAUACCCUGGUAGUCCACGCUGUAAACGGUGGGUACUAGGUGUGGGGUCCAUUCCACGGGUUCCGUGCCGUAGCUAACGCUUUAAGUACCCCGCCUGGGGAGUACGGCCGCAAGGCUAAAACUCAAAGGAAUUGACGGGGCCCCGCACAAGCGGCGGAGCAUGCGGAUUAAUUCGAUGCAACGCGUAGAACCUUACCUGGGUUUGACAUGGAUCGGGAGCGCUCAGAGAUGGGUGUGCCUCUUUUGGGGUCGGUUCACAGGUGGUGCAUGGCUGUCGUCAGCUCGUGUCGUGAGAUGUUGGGUUAAGUCCCGCAACGAGCGCAACCCUUGUUCACUGUUGCCAGCACGUUAUGGUGGGGACUCAGUGGAGACCGCCGGGGUCAACUCGGAGGAAGGUGGGGAUGACGUCAAGUCAUCAUGCCCCUUAUGUCCAGGGCUUCACGCAUGCUACAAUGGCUGGUACAGAGAGUGGCGAGCCUGUGAGGGUGAGCGAAUCUCGGAAAGCCGGUCUCAGUUCGGAUUGGGGUCUGCAACUCGACCUCAUGAAGUCGGAGUCGCUAGUAAUCGCAGAUCAGCAACGCUGCGGUGAAUACGUUCCCGGG
rnacentral:rRNA from 1 species